UGCCAUAUCUUCCUGUGUCUCUUCGUCUGUGCAUCACGCUACUUGUCGUUUCGUUCCAAAUGCAGUGUGUGUUUGCCAAGUGCUUGUGAUUCAGGUUACUUUUAUGUGUUAUGCUUCAGCUACAAGGGACGACCGUUGCCGUGCCAAUGGUGUUUUCAGGUGUUCAUACCACCACAGAUCCAAUACGGAAGUCACAGUUACCAACAAAAAGUGCAAGAGCAGAGCCUGCAUGGUAUCCAUCUAUGAGGAAAUCAUGCAGUACCGCCAAAGAAGUUGACAUGUUAUUAGAAGAUAGCACACAAUGCGUUCCUAGCCUCGCAUCAUCGAACAAACCUCAAGAGUUUGAUCAUACCAAAUAAUGACGCCCGUCAAGAGUCGACCGAGUUUAAGUGAUAAUUAUACAGGUCGUGAUGAUACAACUGUGACACGGUAACAGAGCUUCGUAGGUCCUACCAGUUUAUCUCUCCCUGUACGGUCUCGCAAAGCCAAUGAUUGAAUUUCUCUUUCCGUGACCUCGAGUGGUGAUCCUCAUGAUGUACCAACCAACUCUAGCGAUUUCCAUGCAGUCGGUGAGCCCGACAGAAGGAUCGUAAGUUUCAAAACGAUGCCCAACUAUUACAGUUACAAGGAUUUCAUCUCAACUGAGUUCGUAGUAACGAGAGUUGACUGUGUUUUGGAGUGCUAAGACUCAUAACAAUCUUCGAGAUUCUUCAACCGGACAGAACGGGGCGGCUUGUGAAGUGGAGAG